UGAAAAAAUUUGUAUGCAGUUGGAACACGUGCCUGCGUUUGCCGUUAGGGGCGCUGUUCUAAUUGCAUACAAAUUUGAGUUA
rnacentral:pre_miRNA from 1 species